UACGAAGGGGGCUAGCGUUGUUCGGAUUUACUGGGCGUAAAGGGCGCGUAGGCGGCAUAUUAAGUCAUCUGUGAAAUCUCCGAGCUUAACUCGGAACUGUCAGCUGAUACUGAUGUGCUAGAGUGCGGAAGGGGCAAUCGGAAUUCUUGGUGUAGCGGUGAAAUGCGUAGAUAUCAAGAGGAACACCUGAGGUGAAGACGGGUUGCUGGGCCGACACUGACGCUGAGUGCGCGAAAGCCAGGGGAGCAAACGGG
rnacentral:rRNA from 1 species